AUUGAACGCUGGCGGCAGGCCUAACACAUGCAAGUCGAGCGGAUGAAGGGAGCUUGCUCCUGGAUUCAGCGGCGGACGGGUGAGUAAUGCCUAGGAAUCUGCCUGGUAGUGGGGGAUAACGUCCGGAAACGGGCGCUAAUACCGCAUACGUCCUGAGGGAGAAAGUGGGGAAUCUUCGGACCUCACGCUAUCAGAUGAGCCUAGGUCGGAUUAGCUAGUUGGUGGGGUAAAGGCCUACCAAGGCGACGAUCCGUAACUGGUCUGAGAGGAUGAUCAGUCACACUGGAACUGAGACACGGUCCAGACUCCUACGGGAGGCAGAAGUGGGGAAUAUUGGACAAUGGGCGAAAGCCUGAUCCAGCCAUGCCGCGUGUGUGAAGAAGGUCUUCGGAUUGUAAAGCACUUUAAGUUGGGAGGAAGGGCAGUAAGUUAAUACCUUGCUGUUUUGACGUUACCAACAGAAUAAGCACCGGCUAACUUCGUG
rnacentral:rRNA from 1 species